GACGAACGCUGGCGGCGUGCUUAACACAUGCAAGUCGAACGGAAAGGCCCUGCUUUUGUGGGGUGCUCGAGUGGCGAACGGGUGAGUAACACGUGAGUAACCUGCCCUUGACUUUGGGAUAACUUCAGGAAACUGGGGCUAAUACCGGAUAGGAGCUCCUGCUGCAUGGUGGGGGUUGGAAAGUUUCGGCGGUUGGGGAUGGACUCGCGGCUUAUCAGCUUGUUGGUGGGGUAGUGGCUUACCAAGGCUUUGACGGGUAGCCGGCCUGAGAGGGUGACCGGCCAACUUUGGACUGAGAUACGGCCCAGACUCCUACGGGAGGCAGCAGGUGGGAAUAUUGCACAAUUGGCGGAAGCCUGAUGCAGCAACGCCGCGGGCGGGAUGACCGCCUUCGGGUUGUAAACCGCUUUCGCCUGUGACGAAGCGUGAGUGACGGUAAUGGGUAAAGAAGCACCGGCUAACUACGUGC
rnacentral:rRNA from 1 species